rnacentral:tRNA from 1 species
GCGCGAUAGCCAAGUGGUAAGGCCCCGGUCUGCAACACCGUUAUCACCGGUUCAAAUCCGGUUCGCGC